rnacentral:rRNA from 1 species
GACGUAGGAUGCAAGCGUUAUCCGGAUUCAUUGGGUUUAAAGGGAGCGUAGGCGGACUUAUAAGUCAGUGGUGAAAUCUCUGGGCUUAACCCAGAAACUGCCAUUGAUACUGUAGGUCUAGAGUACAUUUGCUGUGGGCGGAAUAUGACAUGUAGUGGUGAAAUACUUAGAUAUGUCAUAGAACACCGAUUGCGAAGGCAGCUCACAAAAAUGUAACUGACGCUGAGGCUCGAAAGUGCGGGGAUCAAACAGG